ACUCUGGUAUCCUCGGUUCAAAAGAACUACACCAACCCUUUCCGAAUUUGGUGGUAAAAGUUUGAACGGCUAAAAUACUUCAAGGGGAGCCUUGUGGAAAGAUACGCUGACGCCAGAGA
rnacentral:rRNA from 1 species